CCUACGGGCGGCAGCAGUGGGGAAUAUUGGACAAUGGGCGAAAGCCUGAUCCAGCCAUGCCGCGUGUGUGAAGAAGGCCUUCGGGUUGUAAAGCACUUUCAGUGGGGAAGAAAGCCUUGGGGCUAAUACCCUCGAGGAAGGACAUCACCCACAGAAGAAGCACCGGCUAACUCCGUGCCAGCAGCCGCGGUAAUACGGAGGGUGCGAGCGUUAAUCGGAAUUACUGGGCGUAAAGCGCGCGUAGGCGGUCUGAUAAGCCGGUUGUGAAAGCCCCGGGCUCAACCUGGGAACGGCAUCCGGAACUGUCAGGCUAGAGUGCAGGAGAGGAAGGUAGAAUUCCCGGUGUAGCGGUGAAAUGCGUAGAGAGCGGGAGGAAUACCAGUGGCGAAGGCGGCCUUCUGGACUGACACUGACGCUGAGGUGCGAAAGCGUGGGUAGCAAACAGGAUUAGAUACCCGGGUAGUC
rnacentral:rRNA from 1 species